rnacentral:rRNA from 1 species
UAAGUAUAAGCAAUCUAUACUGUGAAACUGCGAAUGGCUCAUUAAAUCAGUUAUCGUUUAUUUGAUAGUACCUUUACCUGGAUAACCGUGGUAAUUCUAGAGCUAAUACAUGCUAAAAACCUCAACUUCGGAAGGGGUGUAUUUAUUAGAUAAAAAACCAAUGCCCUUCGGGGCUCCUUGGUGAUUCAUAAUAACUUAACGAAUCGCAUGGCCUUGCGCCGGCGAUGGUUCAUUCAAAUUUCUGCCCUAUCAACUUUCGAUGGUAGCGUAGUGGGCUACCAUGGUUUCAACGGGUAACGGGGAAUUAGGGUUCUAUUCCGGAGAGGGAGCCUGAGAAACGGCUACCACAUCCAAGGAAGGCAGCAGGCGCGCAAAUUACCCAAUCCCAAUACGGGGAGGUAGUGACAAUAAAUACUGAUACAGGGCUCUUUCGGGUCUUGUAAUUGGAAUGAGAACAAUCUAAAUCCCUUAA